AUUGAACGCUGGCGGCAGGCCUAACACAUGCAAGUCGAACGAGUGGCGGACGGGUGAGUAAUGUCUGGGAAACUGCCUGAUGGAGGGGGAUAACUACUGGAAACGGUAGCUAAUACCGCAUACCAUCGGAUGUGCCCAGAUGGGAUUAGCUAGUAGGUGGGGUAAAGGCUCACCUAGGCGACGAUCCCUAGCUGGUCUGAGAGGAUGACCGGCCACACGGGACAGUAGUAACGGUCCGGCCGCUGACGGGAGGCAGCAGUGGGGAGUAUUGCAAAAGGGGCGCAAGCCUGAUGCAGCCAUGCCGGGUGUAUGAAGAAGGCCUUCGGGUUGUAAAGUACUUUCAGCGGGGAGGCGUUACCCGCAGAAGAAGCACCGGCUAACUCCGGGCCAGCAGCCGCGGUAAUUC
rnacentral:rRNA from 1 species